rnacentral:rRNA from 1 species
GAUGAACGCUGGCGGCGUGCUUAACACAUGCAAGUCGGACGCACAUAUCUUUCGGGGGUGUGUGAGUGGCAGACGGGUGCGUAACACGUAGGUGACCUGCCCUGGAGUGGGGAAUAACUGUCCUAACGGACGGCUAAUACCGCAUAGGUUCGCCGAUUCGAUUCGGUGAGUAAAGCCUUCGGGCGCUUUGGGAUGGGCCUGCGGCGGAUUAGGUAGUUGGUGGGGUAACGGCCUACCAAGCCGAUGAUCCGUAGGGGGCGUGAGAGCGUGGCCCCCCACACUGGCACUGAGAUACGGGCCAGACUCCUACGGGAGGCAGCAGUGAGGAAUAUUGCACAAUGGGCGCAAGCCUGAUGCAGCAACGCCGCGUGGAGGACGAAGGCCUUCGGGUCGUAAACUCCUUUUCUGGGGAAAGAGCAAGGACGGUACCUCAGGAAUAAGUCUCGGCUAACUACGUG